UGCAGAAUCCCGUGAACCAUCGAGUUUUUGAACGCAAGUUGCGCCCUAGGCCAUCCGGCCGAGGGCACGCCUGCCUGGGCGUCACGU
rnacentral:rRNA from 1 species